rnacentral:rRNA from 1 species
AUUGAACGCUGGCGGCAGGCCUAACACAUGCAAGUCGAACGAGUGGCGGACGGGUGAGUAAUGUCUGGGAAACUGCCCGAUGGAGGGGGAUAACUACUGGAAACGGUAGCUAAUACCGCAUACCAUCGGAUGUGCCCAGAUGGGAUUAGCUAGGAGGUGGGUUAACGGCUCACCUAGGCGACGAUCCCUAGCUGGUCUGAAAGGAUGACCAGCCACACGUGAACUGGGACACGGCCCCAACUCCUACUGGAGGCAGCAGUGGGGAAUAUUGCACAAUGGGCGCAGUCCUGAUGCAGCCAUGCCGCGUGUAUGAAGAAGGCCUUCGGGUUGUAAAGUACUUUCAUCGAGGAGGCGUUACUCGCAGAAGAAGCACCGGCUAACUCCGUGCCAGCAGCCGCGGUAAUUC